rnacentral:rRNA from 1 species
CCAUUUCAGAUUUGGAGGCAUUGCCUGCCCAGUGACAACUGUUUAACGGCCGCGGUAUCCUGACCGUGCAAAGGUAGCAUAAUCAUUUGUUCUCUAAAUAAGGACUUGUAUGAAUGGCCGCACGAGGGUUUUACUGUCUCUUACUUCCAAUCAGUGAAAUUGACCUUCCCGUGAAGAGGCGGGAAUGCACAAAUAAGACGAGAAGACCCUAUGGAGCUUUAACUAACCAACCCAAAGAGAAUAGAUUUAACCAUUAAGGAAUAACAACAAUCUCCAUGAGUUGGUAGUUUCGGUUGGGGUGACCUCGGAGAAUAAAAAAUCCUCCGAGCGAUUUUAAAGACUAGACCCACAAGUCAAAUCACUCUAUCGCUCAUUGAUCCAAAAACUUGAUCAACGGAACAAGUUACCCUAGGGAUAACAGCGCAAUCCUAUUCAAGAGUCCAUAUCGACAAUAGGGUUUACGACCUCGAUGUUGGAUCAGGACAUCCUGAUGGUGCAACCGCUAUCAAAGGUUCGUUUGUUCAACGAUUAAAGUCCUACGUGAUCUGAGUUCAGACCGGA